UACGUAGGGGGCAAGCGUUGUCCGGAUUUAUUGGGCGUAAAGAGCUCGUAGGCGGCUCAUUAAGUCGGAUGUGAAAACUCCAGGCUCAACCUGGAGACGCCAUUCGAUACUGGUGUGGCUUGAGUUCGGUAGGGGAGCACGGAAUUCCUGCUGUAGCGGUGAAAUGCGCAGAUAUCAGGAGGAACACCGGUGGCGAAGGCGGUGCUCUGGGCCGAAACUGACGCUGAGGAGCGAAAGCGUGGGUAGCAAACAGG
rnacentral:rRNA from 1 species